ensembl:lncRNA
CCCAUCUCUUGGCCACUGGAGGAACUGGUUACUGUUUACUGGUGGAUGUGGAGGGAAGUCAGCUGAGGAGCAGGGAAUCAGACGGCACAGCCAUAUCUGAAUAAACUCUUCCAACCCAUCCAUCGACGUCUGGCCUUCAUCGCUACCAGCUCCUGUUGUUCCAGCAUCCGUCCGGCGCCUCACAGUCACUCACAACAGAAGGAAGCUCCUCUCUCGUGGAUCCACCAUCACAACUCAUAUGUCCCCACAAUGUACCCCGUUCGGCCCACCACUUGUUGUGCUUAUUAGCGAUAGCGGGGUCAGCGAUUCUGACCCUCACGUUUGGGAUAACCCCAAUGCCAGGAUUUAGAAAAC